UUCACUUUCUCUCUCUCUCUCUUGCGGCUAGGGUUUUUAUCUCUCUCUCUCUUCUUCUCUUUUCUCUCUCAAACCUUAAUCCUAUUCCCUCUUGUUGACAGAUCUGUAUAGUUUUACCAUGGAGGACUUGUUAACUUAGGGUUUCCUGGUCGCCUUUCGAAGUAGAAUCCUUGAGUGGGUGGGGGAUUUUGCUGUUCACUGCUGAUUUUAUCGGAAAUGGCGACCAUGAACCCUUUCGAUUUGUUGGGUGACGAUGAUGCCGAGGACCCGUCGCAGCUGAUGGCAGCUAUGCUGAAGGUCGCUCCUGCCGCCGCCGCUGCCCCUAAGAAAUCUCAUUCUCAACCUCCAGCUAAGCAGCCGGCUCAGUCUCAGUCUCAGUCUCAGUCUCAGUCUCAGU
rnacentral:misc_RNA from 1 species